CUGAGUGCAAAUGUUUGUUUUAGGUAGCAAGGCAGGCAAGCAUGGGGACAGUUUGGCUGAAUAAUUAACUUUUAUCUGAUUGUCCUUUGGAUCCUUCCUUGUUUUCCUCAUAAGGCCCAUCUCUGCUCCAGUUGGCAAAACAUCAUCAAGAUGUUCUGGCUCCUGGGAGUUAGCAUAUCCCCCCUCACCCCCACUUGAGCAGACAUCGACCUGUUGGGUGUCACAAGGAAUUCCACAAGGAAUGCCUGCCAGAUAGGUUAAAUUCUGAUUUUGAAACAUCACUGGCAAAUCUGAAAGUAAAAUAAGAAAAUAUGAAGCGAUGGAAAAAUCUCCCCUGGCUCAUAGUGUUGAACAGAAGAGAAAAAAAGCUGAAGCUUGUUCCUACAAACCUGUCCCCAAGAGCCCUCCAAUUUUCACCUCUCUUCAUGACUGCAAGCCUAUAUCCAGAGUCCUAGCAUCACUGCUCACACUGUCUACCUCUUCAUCCAUAUUCAUUGUCAAGUCUACAGUUAAGAAACUCGAACAAGUUAUUGCAUUUAGAUGUAGUAGUCUGUACAAUCUGUUAGGUAUUUGUAAAAAUGCUUACCGCAUUAUAACCCAUGAAUUAGUCAGUGAAAUAAAAUACAUAUAAAUGUAUGUCUGAUCUCUUAAAAAGGUUAUUUUUAAAUCUUUAUAACCAUUUCCUUUAAACUAGUUUCUCAAAAAGAUCAGUGAGCCUACAGAAGAC
ensembl:lncRNA